rnacentral:Y_RNA from 1 species
GGCUGGUCUGAAGGUAGCGAGUUAUCUCAGUUGAUUUUCAUAGUUAGUUACAGGUUGAACUCCUUGCUCCACUCUUUCCCUCCUCACUUCUGCACUUGAUGAAUCUUAA